UGUACUUAUUCUUUUUUCCGUUUUUUUGGGCCGAGUGAUGCUCAAAACUUUGAGAUUUAUUUUUAAUUUUGAUUGCAACAGUUCAACCGAAGUUUACUGGGAAUAAGUAGGUAAUCAGGGUUGCAAUUUUUCAUGGAAAAUAAAAUUUUGAAAUUUUACCUGAAUUACCUCAUGAAAUUUCAGAGAAAUAUGUAUGAUACAUAUUGAAAAAUAUUUUUCAAAAUUACUUAGAAAUUUAAAAAUAGACGAGAAGCAUAGGUUCGUUGCUUGUUGUGGUUUUUAGUGCGUGUUGCAUACUCAGCCCCUUAAUAUGUAUCUCAAGUUUUUCAAAUUUCACACAACUUUAUGCAAUUUCAUGAAAUAUACUCAUUCAUAGAAAUUUCAAAUCUUUCAUAUCUUCCCAUGCACUUGGACAACAGUAUACACAAGGGAAAGGCAGAUAUUUGAAUGACGCGCCAACUAGCAAACAGGUCACAUGAUCUGAUGACGUGUUUCCCCCACUUCGCUCUUCGCGCUUGCAUUCUAACCUGUAACGGUCUUCUCGCCUCGCCUCCUGUACAGUGAACUGUGAAGUGAAAAAAUCGUUUUAAACUUUAAAGUAUGUACCUGCAAUCAACUGGAAUCUAAUUUUCAACUUGCUGAAGUCGAAACACUGAGAGCGUCAAUAUCUACGAUAAAUGGUCUCAAUAUCCAGGCCCAUCCGACUAUAACAACUUGCCCUGUCUACUACUCACGGGCCGUCUGUCUCCUGUCUUGUUUGCAAUUUUUUAACUAUUUAAAAAGCCCUGGACAGGGGAUUAACGGCAAUUUCUCAGCAUCAAUUUUUCACACAAUUCACAAAAUCAAAUUCACAACUCACUCUCACAUUAGUGUAGGUCACAUAUCGUAUUGUUCGCUCCGUUAAGUGAAUCUCAAGUGUUCAUUUUUUUCCCUUCCUCCUUCAGUGCUGUGACAGCGAUACAGCCAAUUUUACCAGGGAAGGCAGCUGCUUAUAUUAAAUCUUUUCAGAAUACUUAAUGAGAAUCAGAUUAUGCUCCGCUGAGCAGCUUCUUUCUGAUCAAAAAUUUGAUUACAGAGAGUCUUUUUCCUUGUCAAAGGAACACUUAUGGAGCAACACCAGUCUGGUCAACUAGGGACAUGAUACAUACAGAUGCUGAUUUGCAGUUUUACUGAUCAUCAGCUAUGUUUGGACAGUGUCACUUUCCUCCGCCCAACUCUGAUAGGGACCAGAACUGGCUAAACUCAGCUGAUGAGUCAAAAUUACUCUGCUGCAUUGUAGUUGCCUAAUCCCUUGUAAUUUUAAGAAAUGUUGCUACAUGAAUUUUCCUCUUUGAAGGACAAUUUCAAAUCAUAAUUAAUAUUUUUCUUGCGAUUGAAGGAAGCUGCUCUGCAGGACUGAAAUACACUAAGACCAGUAUAGAAUGCCCUCAGCAGUAAGUUUUGUCUUUGUAUGCCUACCUUUUUACAUGAACAAAUAUAUGCAGGCUGUUCGACUUUAUAAGUUUCUAUUAUGUGUUUUUUACUCUUGUAUGGACUUAGGUACUUAGUCAACUGUUCUGCGUAUGUCUUUACAUGCACAAAUAUGUUCAAGUUGUCAGAUUUUAUAAAUUUAUGUUAUGCUUUUUUUUUUACUCAUAUGUAUGGACUGAAAUAGUGAAUUGUUCUUUUUCCCCAAUAAAAAAUGAAUCAAAUACCUAAUAAUGAAAUACUUAGAACACUUUUCUCUUCAGAUUUUUCUUGAAAUUUUUACUGGGGCAUGAAGUAUUAGGUAGGUUGUGUAAA
rnacentral:lncRNA from 1 species